rnacentral:rRNA from 1 species
UUCCUACGGGAGGCAGCAGUGGGGGAUAUUGCACAAUGGGGGCAACCCUGAUGCAGCGACGCCGCGUGAGCGAUGGAGUACUUCGGUAUGUAAAGCUCUGUCAGCAGGGAAGAGAAUGACGGUACCUGACCAAGAAGCCCCGGCUAAAUACGUGCCAGCAGCCGCGGUAAUACGUAUGGGGCAAGCGUUAUCCGGAAUUACUGGGUGUAAAGGGAGAGUAGGCGGCAAGGUAAGCGAUAUGUGAAAGCC